GAUGAACGCUGGCGGCGUGCCUAACACAUGCAAGUCGAGCGAGAAAUUUUAAAGCGAAACUUCGGUCUAGCGAUAAAAUGGAAAGCGGCGGACGGGUGAGUAACGCGUAGGCAACCUGCCCCUUACAGAGGGAUAGCCUCGGGACACCGGGAUUAAAACCUCAUAACGCAUUUUAAACACAUGUUUGAGAUGCCAAAGAUUUAUCGGUAAGGGAUGGGCCUGCGUCUGAUUAGCUAGUUGGUAAGGUAACGGCUUACCAAGGCAACGAUCAGUAGCCGACCUGAGAGGGUAAUCGGCCACAUUGGAACUGAGACACGGUCCAAACUCCUACGGGAGGCAGCAGUGGGGAAUAUUGCACAAUGGGCGAAAGCCUGAUGCAGCAACGCCGCGUGAGCGAAGAAGGCCUUUGGGUCGUAAAGCUCUGUCGGAAGGGAAGAAACAAAUGACGGUACCUUCUGAGGAAGCCCCGGCUAACUACGUGCCAGCCGCCGCAGUAA
rnacentral:rRNA from 1 species